rnacentral:tRNA from 1 species
GUGUGGUGUAGUGGUUAGAGUGCUGGACUAGAAACCUGGGAGACCAGGGUUCAAAUCCCCGCUUGGCCA